AGAUUGAACGCUGGCGGCAGGCCUAACACAUGCAAGUCGAGCGGGUAGAGGAGGUGGCUUGCAUCUCUUGAGAGCGGCGGACGGGUGAGUAAUGCCUAGGAAUCUGCCUAGUGGUGGGGGAUAACGUUCGGAAACGGACGCUAAUACCGCAUACGUCCUACGGGAGAAAGCGGGGGACCUUCGGGCCUCGCGCCAUUAGAUGAGCCUAGGUCGGAUUAGCUAGUUGGUGAGGUAAUGGCUCACCAAGGCGACGAUCCGUAACUGGUCUGAGAGGAUGAUCAGUCACACUGGAACUGAGACACGGUCCAGACUCCUACGGGAGCAGCGAGUGGGGAAUAUGGACAAGUGGGACAAAGCUGAUCCAGCCAUGCCGCGUGUGACGAAGUAAGGUCGUUCGUAUUAGUAAA
rnacentral:rRNA from 1 species